rnacentral:rRNA from 1 species
CCCUUAGAUGUUCGGGGCCGCACGCGCGCUACACUGAUGGGGUCAGCGUGUUUGCACGUCCUGGUCCGGCAGGAUUGGGCAAUCCGUUGAACCUCCGUCGUGAUUGGGAUCGGAGCUUGUAAUUAUUCUCCGUGAACGAGGAAUUCCCAGUAAGCGCAAGUCAUCAGCUCGCGUUGAUUACGUCCCUGCCCUUUGUACACACCGUCUGUCGCUACUACCGAUUGAAUGGCUUAGUGAGAUUUCCGGAUCGGCGUUGGGGAGCCGGCAACGGCACCCCUUGGCUGAGAAGUUACUCAAACUUGGUCAUUUAGAGGAAGUAAAAGUCAUAACA